rnacentral:rRNA from 1 species
CCUANGGGAGGCAGCAACUAGGAAUAUUGCACAAUGGACGAAAGUCUGAUGCAGCGACACCGCGUGGAGGAUGAAGGUCUUCGGAUCGUAAACUCCUUUAGUCCCACAUAAUGUGGGAAAAAUAAACUUCUGCUAACUACGUGCCAGAAGCCUCGGUAAUACGUGGGAAGUGAGCGUUAUCCGGAUUUAUUGGGCGUAAAGCGUUCCGUAGGUGGUUUGUCACAUCCUAUUUCAAAUACCCCGGCUCAACUGGGGAAAGGGGUAGGAGAUGAGCAAGCUGGAGUUAGGCCGGGGAUGUUGGAAUUCACGGUGGAGCAGUGAAAUGCGUUGAUAUCGUGAAGAACACCAAGGGCGAAGGCGAACAUCUAGGCCUUAUCUGACACUGAGGGACGAAAGCUAGGGGAGCGAAAGGGAUUAGAUACCCGGNUANUC